GAUGAAGAACGUAGUGAAAUGCGAUAAUUAAUGUGAAUUGCAGAAUUCAGUGAAUCAUCGAAUCUUUGAACGCACAUUGCGCCCUUUGGCAUUCCGAAGGGCACACCUGUCCGAGCGCCGUCGCACAACUGAGGCGCAGCCUUGCGUUGGCGGGCGACUUGUGAGUAGCGAGUCGCCGCCCAAACGAGACGGCGCCGCGCCGCGGCCGACGAAGCACGAAAGCGGAAGUCGACGCGGAGGCGGUUGCCUGUAGGAAGACACAGCUUGGCCUCGGAUCAGGUGGGGAUACCCGCUGAACUUAAGCAUAUCAAUAAGCGGAGGA
rnacentral:misc_RNA from 1 species